rnacentral:rRNA from 1 species
GUGGGGAAUCUUAGACAAUGGGCGCAAGCCUGAUCUAGCCAUGCCGCGUGAGUGAUGAAGGCCCUAGGGUUGUAAAGCUCUUUCAGCUGGGAAGAUAAUGACGGUACCAGCAGAAGAAGCCCCGGCUAACUCCGUGCCAGCAGCCGCGGUAAUACGGAGGGGGCUAGCGUUGUUCGGAAUUACUGGGCGUAAAGCGCGCGUAGGCGGACUGAAAAGUUGGGGGUGAAAUCCCGGGGCUCAACCUCGGAACUGCCUUCAAAACUAUCAGUCUGGAGUUCGAGAGAGGUGAGUGGAAUUCCGAGUGUAGAGGUGAAAUUCGUAGAUAUUCGGAGGAACACCAGUGGCGAAGGCGGCUCACUGGCUCGAUACUGACGCUGAGGUGCGAAAGCGUGGGGAGCAAACAGGAUUAGAAACCCUGGUAGUCC